rnacentral:rRNA from 1 species
AGUCGCACGGUGACAGGACUUCGGUCGCUGACGAGUGGCGCACGGGUGAGUAACGCGUGGGUUACCUGCCCAUAAGUGGGGAACAACUUGGAGAAAUCCAAGCUAAUACCGCAUAAUACCUUCGGGUUAAAGAGGGGGAUCUUCGGACCUCUCGCUUAUGGAUGGUCCCGCGUCUGAUUAGCUAGUUGGUAGGGUAAUGGCCUACCAAGGCAAUGAUCAGUAGCUGGUCUGAGAGGAUGAUCAGUCACACUGGAACUGAGACACGGUCCAGACUCCUACGGGAGGCAGCAGUGGGGAAUUUUGCACAAUGGGCGAAAGCCUGAUGCAGCGACGCCGCGUGCGGGAAGAAGGCCUUCGGGUUGUAAACCGCUUUCAACAGGGAAGAAGGAAUGAGAGCUAAUACCUCUCUGCCUUGACGGUACCUGUAGAAGAAGCACCGGCUAAUUUCGUGCCAGCAGCCGCGGUAAUACGAAAGGUGCAAGCGUUGUUCGGAUUUACUGGGCGUAAAGAGAUCGUAGGUGGCUUGUUAAGUCGGAUGUGAAAUCCCGGGGCUCAACCCCGGAACUGCAUCCGAUACUGGCAGGCUUGAGUUUGGGAGGGGUAAGCGGAAUUCCGUGUGUAGCAGUGAAAUGCGUAGAUAUACGGAGGAACACCUGAGCGAAAGCGGCUUACUGGACCAAUACUGACACUGAGAUCGAAAGCGUGGGUAGCAAACAGGAUUAGAUACCCUGGUAGUCCACGCCCUAAACGAUGUCAACUAGCCGUUGCGGGUAUCGACCCCUGCAGUGGCGCAGCUACGCGAUAAGUGACGCCUGGGGGGAGUACGGUCGCA